rnacentral:rRNA from 1 species
UACAGAGGUCCCAAGCGUUGUUCGGAUUCACUGGGCGUAAAGGGUGCGUAGGUGGCCAGGUAAGUUCGGUGUGAAAGCUCGGAGCUUAACUCCGAAAUGGCAUUGAAUACUAUCUGGCUAGAGGGUCGGAGGGGAGACUGGAAUUCUCGGUGUAGCAGUGAAAUGCGUAGAUAUCGAGAGGAACACCGGUGGCGAAGGCGGGUCUCUGGGCCGAUACUGACGCUGAGGAGCGAAAGCGUGGGGAGCGAACAGG